rnacentral:rRNA from 1 species
CUGGGCGUAAAGCGCAUGCAGGUGGUUUGUUAAGUCAGAUGUGAAAGCCCCGGGGCUCAACCUCGGAAUUGCAUUUGAAACUGGCAGACUAGAGUACUGUAGAGGGGGUAGAAUUUCAGGUGUAGCGGUGAAAUGCGUAGAGAUCUGAAGGAAUACCGGUGGCGAAGGCGGCCCCCUGGACAGAUACUGACACUCAGAUGCGAAAGCGUGGGGAGCAAACAGGAUUAGAUACCCUGGUAG